rnacentral:rRNA from 1 species
AACGAACGCUGGCGGCAUGCCUAACACAUGCUAGUCGAACGAGCCCUUCGGGUCUAGUGUCGCACGGUUUCGUAACGCGUGGGAACCUUCCCUUAUGUUCGGACUAACUCCCCGAAAGGGGUGCUAAUACCGGAUCAUGUCUUCUAACCAAUGAUUUAUCGACUUUGGAUGGGCCCGCGUUGGAUUAGCUAGUUGGUAGGGUAAUAGCUUACCACGGCGACGAUCCAUAGCUUGUAUGAGAGGAUGAUCAGCAACACUGGGACUGAGACGCGGCCUAGACUCCUACGCGAGGCGGGAGUGGGGAAUAGUGGAAAGUGGGCGAAAGGCUGAAGCAGCAAGGACGGGUGAGUGAUGAAGGCCGUAGGGUUGUAAAGCGCAUUUAACCGGGAUGAUAAUGACAGUACCGGGAGAAAAAGCCCCGGCUAACUACGUG